AUGGUGUUGCGCGACCAUCAAGGACAGAUCAUCUUUGUAGCGUACCGUGUCCUGUUCCACUGCAACGACGCUAUGGAGGCUGAACUUCACGCGCUCAUGCAGGGUAUGGCCUUGGCCAUCCAACACUCGGUUCUUCCGGUCGUCGUUCAGUCGGACUCCUAUGAAGCCUUGGCGAGUCUCUCAAGCGAUGCUUUAUCUCGCUCCGUCUACGGUCAUUUGGUUCUAGAGAUUAAGGAGUUGAUGAGUAAUAGGGAGUUUGUACCUCUGAAAAUUUGUCGGUCUCAGAAUAGAGUUGCCGAUCAUUUGGCCAAGUAUAGUCAUUCCGAACGGACUACAGCAGUGUGGCUGCUUUCGGUUCCACCUUGUAUUGAGGAUUUGUGGCCUCUCGACUGUAACACUAUGACAUUUGAAUAA
rnacentral:rRNA from 1 species